rnacentral:rRNA from 1 species
GAUGAACGCUGGCGGCGUGCCUAAUACAUGCAAGUCGAGCGAACAGACGAGGAGCUUGCUCCUCUGACGUUAGCGGCGGACGGGUGAGUAACACGUGGAUAACCUACCUAUAAGACUGGGAUAACUUCGGGAAACCGGAGCUAAUACCGGAUAAUAUAUUGAACCGCAUGGUUCAAUAGUGAAAGACGGUUUUGCUGUCACUUAUAGAUGGAACCGGGCCGCAUUAGCUAGUUGGUAAGGUAACGGCUUACCAAGGCAACGAUGCGUAGCCGACCUGAGAGGGUGAGCGGCCACACAGGAACUGAGACACGGUCCAGACUCCUACGAGAGGCAGCGGUAGGGAGUCUUCCGCAAUGGGCGGAAGCCUGACGGAGCAACGCCGCGUGAGUGAUGAAGGUCUUCGGAUCGUAAAACUCUGUUAUUAGGGAAGAACAAAUGUGUAAGUAACUAUGCACGUCUUGACGGUACCUAAUCAGAAAGCCACGGCUAACUACGUG